rnacentral:tRNA from 1 species
GGGGUUGUCACUCAGUGGUAGAGUGCUUGCCUAGCAUGUGCGAGUGUAUGGGUUCGAUCCUCAGCACCACA